CAUGCAAGUCGAGCGGGCGCAGCAAUGCGUCAGCGGCAGACGGGUGAGUAACGCGUGGGAACGUACCUUUUGGUUCGGAACAACACAGGGAAACUUGUGCUAAUACCGGAUAAGCCCUUACGGGGAAAGAUUUAUCGCCGAAAGAUCGGCCCGCGUCUGAUUAGCUAGUUGGUGGGGUAACGGCCCACCAAGGCGACGAUCAGUAGCUGGUCUGAGAGGAUGAUCAGCCACAUUGGGACUGAGACACGGCCCAAACUCCUACGGGAGGCAGCAGUGGGGAAUAUUGGACAAUGGGCGCAAGCCUGAUCCAGCCAUGCCGCGUGAGUGAUGAAGGCCCUAGGGUUGUAAAGCUCUUUUGUGCGGGAAGAUAAUGACGGUACCGCAAGAAUAAGCCCCGGCUAACUUCGUGCCAGCAGCCGCGGUAAUACGAAGGGGGCUAGCGUUGCUCGGAAUCACUGGGCGUAAAGGGUGCGUAGGCGGGUCUUUAAGUCAGGGGUGAAAUCCUGGAGCUCAACUC
rnacentral:rRNA from 1 species